UGCCGAAGCUCCAGUUGGGGAGAGCGUUAGACUGAAGAUCUAAAUGUCCCUCGGUUUUAAUCCGUGUUUCGGCAG